rnacentral:rRNA from 1 species
GCUAGCGUUGCUCGGAAUCACUGGGCGUAAAGCGCACGUAGGCGGAUUGCUAAGUCAGGGGUGAAAUCCUGGAGCUCAACUCCAGAACUGCCUUUGAUACUGGUGAUCUUGAGUCCGGGAGAGGUGAGUGGAACUGCGAGUGUAGAGGUGAAAUUCGUAGAUAUUCGCAAGAACACCAGUGGCGAAGGCGGCUCACUGGCCCGGUACUGACGCUGAGGUGCGAAAGCGUGGGGAGCAAACAGG